rnacentral:rRNA from 1 species
CCUACGGGUGGCAGCAGUGAGGAAUAUUGGUCAAUGGACGGAAGUCUGAACCAGCCAUGCCGCGUGCAGGAAGACGGCUCUAUGAGUUGUAAACUGCUUUUGUACAGGGGUAAACCUUAAUACGUGUAUUCUGCUGAAUGUACUUUACGAAUAAGGAUCGGCUAACUCCGUGCCAGCAGCCGCGGUAAUACGGAGGAUCCAAGCGUUAUCCGGAUUUAUUGGGUUUAAAGGGAGCGUAGGCGGGUUGAUAAGUUAGAGGUGAAAUGUCCGGGCUUAACUCGGGAACUGCCUUUAAUACUGGUGAGCUAGAGAGCAGAUGCGGUAGGCGGAAUGUAUGGUGUAGCGGUGAAAUGCUUAGAGAUCAUACAGAACACCGAUUGCGAAGGCAGCUUACUAAUCUAUAUCUGACGUUGAGGCACGAAAGCGUGGGGAGCAAACAGGAUUAGAUACCCUUGUAGUC